rnacentral:rRNA from 1 species
UGCGACCUCAGGUCAGGC